GUUACUCUAGUUCAAUUAGAAUAUUCGAUUUGCAUUCGACUGGUAGAUUUAUAAUCUGAGCAACC
rnacentral:tRNA from 1 species